GACGAACGCUGGCGGCGUGCCUAAUACAUGCAAGUCGAACGCUUUUUCUUUCACCGGAGCUUGCUCCACCGAAAGAAAAGAGUGGCGAACGGGUGAGUAACACGUGGGUAACCUGCCCAUCAGAAGGGGAUAACACUUGGAAACAGGUGCUAAUACCGUAUAACACUAUUUUCCGCAUGGAAGAAAGUUGAAAGGCGCUUUUGCGUCACUGAUGGAUGGACCCGCGGUGCAUUAGCUAGUUGGUGAGGUAACGGCUCACCAAGGCAACGAUGCAUAGCCGACCUGAGAGGGUGAUCGGCCACACUGGGACUGAGACACGGCCCAGACUCCUACGGGAGGCAGCAGUAGGGAAUCUUCGGCAAUGGACGAAAGUCUGACCGAGCAACGCCGCGUGAGUGAAGAAGGUUUUCGGAUCGUAAAACUCUGUUGUUAGAGAAGAACAAGGAUGAGAGUAGAACGUUCAUCCCUUGACGGUAUCUAACCAGAAAGCCACGGCUAACUACGUGCCAGCCGCCGCGGUAA
rnacentral:rRNA from 1 species